GCUGUGGUGGCCGAGUGGUUAAGGCGUUGGACUUGAAAUCCAAUGGGUUCUAUCCGCACAGGUUCAAGUCCUUUCCAUAGAG
rnacentral:tRNA from 1 species